rnacentral:rRNA from 1 species
UACGAAGGGGGCUAGCGUUGUUCGGAAUUACUGGGCGUAAAGCGCGCGCAGGCGGUCUUCCAAGUCAGUGGUGAAAGACCUGGAGCUCAACUCCAGAACUGCCAUUGAAACUGUUAGACUUGAGUACGAGAGAGGUGAGUGGAAUUCCCAGUGUAGAGGUGAAAUUCGUAGAUAUUGGGAAGAACACCAGUGGCGAAGGCGGCUCACUGGCUCGUAACUGACGCUCAGGCGCGACAGCGUGGGGAGCGGAACAGG